UACGUAGGGGGCAAGCGUUAUCCGGAAUUACUGGGUGUAAAGGGAGCGUAGACGGUAAUGUAAGUCUGGAGUGAAAGGCGGGGGCCCAACCCCCGGACUGCUCUGGAAACUAUGUUACUAGAGUGCAGGAGAGGUAAGCGGAAUUCCUAGUGUAGCGGUGAAAUGCGUAGAUAUUAGGAGGAACCCCGGUGGCGAAGGCGGCUUACUGGACUGUAACUGACGUUGAGGCUCGAAAGCGUGGGGAGCAAACAGG
rnacentral:rRNA from 1 species